AGAGUUUGAUCAUGGCUCAGGACGAACGCUGGCGGCGUGCUUAACACAUGCAAGUCGAACGAGAUCCAUUCAGUAGCAAUACUGAUGAGGAUCUAGUGGCGAACGGGUGCGUAACACGUGAGGAACUUGUCCCGGUCUCUGGGAUAACAGUUGGAAACGACUGCUAAUACCGGAUGACGUCGGAACUUCGCAUGGAGUACUGACGAAAGGGUUACUGGAUCGGGAGAGCCUCGCGGCCUAUCAGCUUGUUGGUGGGGUAACGGCCUACCAAGGCAUCGACGGGUAGCUGGUCUGAGAGGAUGAUCAGCCACACUGGGACUGAGACACGGCCCAGACUCCUACGGGAGGCAGCAGUGGGGAAUCUUGCACAAUGGGCGAAAGCCUGAUGCAGCAACGCCGCGUGCGGGAAGAAGGCCCUCGGGUUGUAAACCGCUUUCAGAAGGAACGAAACUGACGGUACUUUCAGAAGAAGGUGCGGCCAACUACGUGCCAGCAGCCGCGGUGACACGUAGGCACCAAGCGUUGUCCGGAUUUAUUGGGCGUAAAGAGCUCGUAGGCGGUUCAGUAAGUCGGGUGUGAAAACUUUGGGCUUAACCCAAAGCGUGCAUCCGAUACUGCUGUGACUUGAGUACGGUAGGGGAGCGGGGAAUUCCUAGUGUAGCGGUGAAAUGCGCAGAUAUUAGGAGGAACACCGGUGGCGAAGGCGCCGCUCUGGGCCGAAACUGACGCUGAGGAGCGAAAGCAUGGGUAGCAAACAGGAUUAGAUACCCUGGUAGUCCAUGCCGUAAACGUUGGGCACUAGGUGUGGGUUCCAACCAACGGAAUCCGCGCCGUCGCUAACGCAUUAAGUGCCCCGCCUGGGGAGUACGGCCGCAAGGUUAAAACUCAAAGGAAUUGACGG
rnacentral:rRNA from 1 species